rnacentral:rRNA from 1 species
GACGAACGCUGGCGGCGCGCUUAACACAUGCAAGUCGAACGGAAAGGCCCUGCUUUUGUGGGGUGCUCGAGUGGCGAACGGGUGAGUAACACGUGAGUAACCUGCCCUUGACUUUGGGAUAACUUCAGGAAACUGGGGCUAAUACCGGAUAGGAGCUCCUGCUGCAUGGUGGGGGUUGGAAAGUUUCGGCGGUUGGGGAUGGACUCGCGGCUUAUCAGCUUGUUGGUGGGGUAGUGGCUUACCAAGGCUUCGACGGGUAGCCGGCCUGAGAGGGUGACCGGCCACAUUGGGACUGAGAUACGGCCCAGACUCCUACGGGAGGCAGCAGUGGGGAAUAUUGCACAAUGGGCGGAAGCCUGAUGCAGCAACGCCGCGUGCGGGAUGACGGCCUUCGGGUUGUAAACCGCUUUCGCCUGUGACGAAGCGUGAGUGACGGUAAUGGGUAAAGAAGCACCGGCUAACUACGUG